CUGGGGGGCCCCAGGCUUGGAUGCGGUACUCCAGAUGGGGCCUCACAAGGCCAGAGUAGAGGGGGACAAUCACCUUCCUCACCCUGCUGCCACCCCUCUUCUGAUGCAGCCCAGGAUACUGUUGGCUGGACACCUGGGGGACACCAUUUGUGACCGGCCUCCACCUGGACACAGAGCCAUUGACAACAACACUCUGGCUACAACUAUCCAACUAACUCUUCAUCGACCAAAUCCUUUGAAUCCAUCUCUCUCCAGCUUAGAGAUAAGAAUGUUGCAUAGGACCAUGUCAAAGGCCCUGCAGAAAUCCAGGUUUGAAAGGAUUUUGCUUUUAAAGGGAAAAUAGCAUAUCUCUGCAUUCUUCUCCAUUGUAUCGGGAGAAGUGGGGCUUUUGGAACAUGGCGUGAGGAGCUGUUUGGCACUCAGCAGUGAUGGAUGUGGAGAAGAGCCGGCUGAUGUCCCUUGACUCCUUCGUUCUGCUUAGGGGUGAAUAAUGCCCACCAAGGAUGGCUUCUCAGACGCAAGCUUUCAUUUAGUGAAUUGUGUCAGCUUUUGAAGAAAUAAUGGAAACCCUUUUCAAAAAACAUUUACUUAUUUUUGGUUUUGUUUUCUUGUCACAAGCAUUAACUAAGUUCAGCGUGACUUUGCCAGCUGACAGGUCAGGUAGGACUGGCAGUUGUCGUUAGAGGUUUCUCAGGCUGCAAUGCCACCAAAUCCUGCUGGUGUUCUUCAGCGUGACUGCAUGCACCAGCCUCUCUGAAAACAUAUUUCCAGGCAGCUUUGUAUCAUCUGAGGAUAAGGUGGCGGUGUAGGAGGGAUAAGAACAGGGAGGGAUGGGAAAGACCUUAGGGAGGCCUUGGAGUAGGGAAUUUGAGCUAAUUAAACAGGAAGGAGCAGGAAAACCAUAGGCAGGAGUGGCAGGAGCAGGGGGGAGGUGUUCCCUGGGGGAGAUGCAGAACAUGUGAUUUGUAGCCUGUCGCAGAGCACGGGCAGUUAGCACAAUAACAGCGUUGGCCCAGCAGAGCUGUGUGCAUUCACCUCUCUUCUCCCACAGACCACUAGUGGAUGUGGCUCCCUUGCAGACAUGAUGCCCAAGCAGCACAUUCUGCAUGUCCCUCAGCCUCCUGUACCUGCCUUCAGGCUCCCACCCUGGCACAACGAUCUUCUGCUUUUACAGGGGACACAGGCAGCCACAAGCUGCAGUGGCCCCUCAUGCUGUGCGGAGCCCCGUGACACUGGUGGCAGAGAGGUGAGCCGUGCUCCUCACCGGGGUGGAUCCGUCACCUUGACCGGACCAACGCCCAUCAGCAUGUCAGGGCUGCGGCAGGGCUCCAAGCAGCGGAUGCAGCCGUCGCUGCCACUAAUGAGUUUGUUGCCGUGUUGCUAAUGAGUGAGUGCUGGGAGUACAUUUUCUCCUGUGCUGGUUUCCCAGACCCCUUCUUGAGAAAGCAAACCCGAUGCGGAUGAAAGCAAUAUUGCAGUACACUAGAUAAAAUUGCUUCCUUUGUUAAUUUUUCUUUUCCUUUUAAUUUCCUUUUAAUCAGAGCUGAGUCUCUGAAGGCAUCAAAAUCAAUACUUUCUGCGUACGCUGCUGCUGCUUUUGAAACUAUUUGCCCUUAUUAAGUAACGUUUUCCUCCCAGACAUGGCUGUUCCUGGAUGAGCAGCAUCCCUGCUGCCAGGAGAAGGAUUUCUAGGAGGAGAGAGCCUGAUGCAGCCACAUGCUGACUGACACACACAGACCAAACCCACCACCACUUGUGCUUCUCAACACAUUUUCCAUAGAUUUCUGAAAGGUGCUUUGUGGAAAGAGUAGCAGCCUCUGCAAGCCGCUCUGUGCCAUUCCCCAUGCUGACCUGCCCUGCUUGCUGCUCCUUGCUGGGAUCUCAGCUGCAGCAGGUGGUGGCUCGGAAGCUCAGAUUUGUAGUUCUUCUGAAAGCUGCAGAGAAAGGAGGAAAACCAUUUAAAAUGUCCCAUUAGAAUGCCACUCCACAUCUGAAAGUGCCUGUGACAACUUUUAUGGAGCUCUGUACGUGUUUUCCUGUUCUGCAAGAUGUGUUUGGCGCAUGUGUGCCACCAUCUCCACUUGUAACCAACCUUGGCAGCCUGGCAGGAGCCCCUCUCCACCCACCCCAGGGCUCUGAGCACCUUUUCCUCACCCUUCUGGUUGCCCUGGAGGAUAACUGCUCCAAGGUGCAGCCCCGUGCCGGCUGUUGCAGUUUGUACCACAGAGCUUGCCAAGCCUGCUGGCCUUGCCAGAACUGAGCCCAGGCUGUUGGCAGCACCACCUGCCUCACAUGCUCGCCCUCACUGCUAAUCUGUCCUUGAUUGCGGACCCGGCAUUCAUUGUUGUCAAUUAGCUGUGCCUACAGAGAUGCCAUGUAAUGGCCUUAGUGCACAGGAUCCAGCCCACGGUCCCCUCUCUGCGGGUCACCGAAGGAAGCCUUUGGCUGUGUGCCUGGCCACGGGAAGCAGCCGGCACCAGCACAUGGAUGGCACGGGUGUGGAGCAGCCGUGCAUGGCUGCUUGCUGCAGGGCAGGGUAGAGGUGAGGACAGCAAGGGGAGUGGCAGCCUGGGGCUGGGGUGGGGCUUCCCAUGGCUUCAGGAGGUUUGGAGCAGCCUCGGGACACCCUCGGGACAGUCUGACUGUCAUCGUCUUCUCCCCUUCUAGCCUUGGGUGUAGUCCAACAGCCUGGGUGUAAAUUUUUCAGAAGACUUCAGCACAAAAUGCUGAAGCAGCAGCAUUGAGCACAGCCACGCUUAUGGCGCCGUGCACUGGGGCUGCCAUCGUGGUCACAGCAGGCAGCAGUUCCCAUUGCCUUCACAUCAGUGGCUCAGAAUUAUUACUGUAUUUUAAAGAUCCCUAAAACUAGACAUUUUGGGAAAAGAUGGGAACGCAUGGGAAAAGGUGGGAAAGGAUGGGAAAUGAUGGGAAAGCAAGGGAGAAGGAAAGAAAAAAAAAAAAAGAAUUAACCAAAUCUCAAUCUCUGAACCAGGGGCCGGCAGCACCUGCAGGACUGCAGGACCUGGAGUACAGAAGCACACCCUGAGUUCUGUAUCUCUACUCAGCGAUGCCGUGGCUGUUGCUAAGCGACAGGUGAUGCUUGCUCUAGCCAAAAUUUGGUUCUUAAAGGGCUUCCAUCAAGGGGAAAGUCCCUCUGUGGUGAUGUGCGGCAGAGAACCAGGAGGUGCCGUGCCCAUCUCACCUCCACCUCAGCUCCGUGUACCCCAGCACCAACCAGGGUCUGUGCUCCAUCAGCUGUUGUUCAGUCAAACACUGGUAGAAAAAUGAACCAUCACCAUUAAUCCCUCCUUUAUUUGCAUGGUUUUGAUGCCAUCAAAACAGAUGACACUGAUGUAGCAUAAGGAGAAUUUUUAAAGAGGAGCAUUAUGUUUUAAAACCCUAAUAAAAGCAAAAUAAAUGCUGGAGUUUGAAUUUA